CCCGCUGAGUUUAAGUAUAUAAAUAAGCGGAGGAGAAGAAACUUACAAGGAUUCCCCUAGUAACGGCGAGCGAACUAGGAGCAACCCAGCUUGAGAAUCGGGCGGCUGUGCCAUACGAAUUGUAGUCUGGAGAGGCGUUCUCAACGACGGACCGGGCCCAAGUCCCCUAGAAAGGGGCGCCUAGGAGGGUGAGAGCCCCGUCCGGCCGGGCCGUAUCGCCCCACGAGGCGCCGUCAACGAGUUGGGUUGUUUGGGAAUGCAGCCCAAAUCAGGCGGUAGACUCCGUCGAAGGCUAAAUAUAGGCGAGAGACUGGUAGCAAACAAGUACCACGAGGGAAAGAUGAAAAGGACUUUGAAAAAAGAGUCAAAGAGUGCUUGAAAUUGCCGGGAGGGAAGUGGACGGGGGUCGGCGAUGCGCCCCGGCCGUAUGCGGAACGGCUCUUGCUGGUCCGCUGCUCGGCUCGGGGUGUGGACUAUUGUCGGCCAUGCUGGCGGCAAAAUCCCGGGCACCCUAGGUGCCCCAGUGGCCGUCGUCGGCACAGCCGGUACCCGCACACCAAAAGGUGUGUCCCUCGAGGCAUUGUGCUGCAACGGCCUGUAGGCUCCCCAUCCGACCCGUCUUGAAACAUGG
rnacentral:ncRNA from 1 species